rnacentral:rRNA from 1 species
UACGGAGGGUGCAAGCGUUAUCCGGAUUUAUUGGGUUUAAAGGGUGCGCAGGCGGAACAUUAAGUCAGUGGUGAAAGCCUACAGCUCAACUGUAGAAUUGCCAUUGAUACUGUUGUUCUUGAGUUCAGUUGAAGUGGGCGGAAUGUGUCGUGUAGCGGUGAAAUGCAUAGAUAUGACACAGAACUCCGAUCGCGAAGGCAGCUCACUAAGCUGAUACUGACGCUCAUGCACGAAAGCGUGGGGAUCAAACAGGAUUAGAUACCCUGGUAGUCCACGCUGUAAACGAUGAUCACUCGCUGUUGGCGAUAUACUGUCAGUGGCUAAGCGAAAGUGAUAAGUGAUCCACCUGGGGAGUACGAUCGCAAGGUUGAA